rnacentral:rRNA from 1 species
UACGUAGGGCGCAAGCGUUGUCCGGAAUUAUUGGGCGUAAAGAGCUCGUAGGCGGCCUGUUACGUCUGCUGUGAAAUCCCGGGGCUUAACCCCGGGCGUGCAGUGGAUACGGGCAGGCUGGAGGCAGGCAGGGGAGAACGGAAUUCCCGGUGUAGCGGUGAAAUGCGCAGAUAUCGGGAGGAACACCGGUGGCGAAGGCGGUUCUCUGGGCCUGUACUGACGCUGAGACGCGAAAGCGUGGGGAGCGAACAGG